GAUGAACGCUGGCGGCGUGCUUAACACAUGCAAGUCGAACGGUGAAGGCGGAGCUUGCUCUGCUGGAUCAGUGGCGAACGGGUGAGUAACACGUGAGCAAUCUGCCCCUGACUCUGGGAUAAGCGCUGGAAACGGCGUCUAAUACUGGAUACGAGCUGCGAAGGCAUCUUCAGCAGCUGUAAAGAACUUCGGUCAGGGAUGAGCUCGCGGCCUAUCAGCUUGUUGGUGAGGUAACGGCUAACCAAGGCGUCGACGGGUAGCCGGCCUGAGAGGGUGACCGGCCACACUGGGACUGAGACACGGCCCAGACUCCUACGGGAGGCAGCAGUGGGGAAUAUUGCACAAUGGGCGAAAGCCUGAUGCAGCAACGCCGCGUGAGGGACGACGGCCUUCGGGUUGUAAACCUCUUUUAGCAGGGAAGAAGCGAAAGUGACGGUACCUGCAGAAAAAGCGCCGGCUAACUACGUG
rnacentral:rRNA from 1 species